rnacentral:rRNA from 1 species
UAACACGUGGGAAACCUGCCCAGAAGCGGGGGAUAACACCUGGAAACAGAUGCUAAUACCGCAUAACAACUUGGACCGCAUGGUCCGAGCUUGAAAGAUGGCUUCGGCUAUCACUUUUGGAUGGUCCCGCGGCGUAUUAGCUAGAUGGUGGGGUAACGGCUCACCAUGGCAAUGAUACGUAGCCGACCUGAGAGGGUAAUCGGCCACAUUGGGACUGAGACACGGCCCAAACUCCUACGGGAGGCAGCAGUAGGGAAUCUUCCACAAUGGACGAAAGUCUGAUGGAGCAACGCCGCGUGAGUGAAGAAGGGUUUCGGCUCGUAAAACUCUGUUGUUAAAGAAGAACAUAUCUGAGAGUAACUGUUCAGGUAUUGACGGUAUUUAACCAGAAAGCCACGGCUAACUACGUGCCAGCAGCCGCGGUAAUACGUAGGUGGCAAGCGUUGUCCGGAAUUAUUGGGCGUAAAGCGAGCGCAGGCGGUUUUUUAAGUCUGAUGUGAAAGCCCUUCGGCUCAACCGAAGAAGUGCAUCGGAAACUGGGAAACUUGAGUGCAGAAGAGGACAGUGGAACUCCAUGUGUAGCGGUGAAAUGCGUAGAUAUAUGGAAGAACACCAGUGGCGAAGGCGGCUGUCUGGUCUGUAACUGACGCUGAGGCUCGAAAGUAUGGGUAGCAAACAGGAUUAGAUACCCUGGUAGUCCAUACCGUAAACGAUGAAUGCUAAGUGUUGGAGGGUUUCCGCCCUUCAGUGCUGCAGCUAACGCAUUAAGCAUUCCGCCUGGGGAGUACGGCCGCAAGGCUGAAACUCAAAGGAAUUGACGGGGGCCCGCACAAGCGGUGGAGCAUGUGGUUUAAUUCGAAGCUACGCGAAGAACCUUACCAGGUCUUGACAUACUAUGCAAAUCUAAGAGAUUAGACGUUCCCUUCGGGGACAUGGAUACAGGUGGUGCAUGGUUGUCGUCAGCUCGUGUCGUGAGAUGUUGGGUUAAGUCCCGCAACGAGCGCAACCCUUAUUAUCAGUUGCCAGCAUUAAGUUGGGCACUCUGGUGAGACUGCCGGUGACAAACCGGAGGAAGGUGGGGAUGACGUCAAAUCAUCAUGCCCCUUAUGACCUGGGCUACACACGUGCUACAAUGGAUGGUACAACGAGUUGCGAACUCGCGAGAGUAAGCUAAUCUCUUAAAGCCAUUCUCAGUUCGGAUUGUAGGCUGCAACUCGCCUACAUGAAGUCGGAAUCGCUAGUAAUCGCGGAUCAGCAU